rnacentral:rRNA from 1 species
UACGGAGGGUGCAAGCGUUAUCCGGAUUCACUGGGUUUAAAGGGUGCGUAGGUGGGCAGGUAAGUCCGUGGUGAAAUCCCCGAGCUUAACUCGGGAACUGCCAUGGAUACUAUUUGUCUUGAAUAUUGUGGAGGUGAGCGGAAUAUGUCAUGUAGCGGUGAAAUGCUUAGAUAUGACAUAGAACACCAAUUGCGAAGGCAGCUUACUACACAGUUAUUGACGCUGAGGCACGAAAGCGUGGGGAUCAAACAGG